UGGAGGAAAGCAGGGGAUCGCAAGACCUUGCGCUUUUGGAGCGGCCGAUGUCUGAUUAGCUAGUUGGUGGGGUAAUGGCCUACCAAGGCUACGAUCAGUAGUUGGUCUGAGAGGACGACCAGCCACACUGGGGCUGAGACACGGCCCAGACUCCUACGGGAGGCAGCAGUGGGGAAUUUUGGACAAUGGGCGAAAGCCUGAUCCAGCAAUGCCGCGUGAGUGAAGAAGGCCUUCAGGUUGUAAAGCUCUUUCAGUCGAGAAGAAAAGGUUGUGACUAAUAAUCACAAUUUAUGACGGUAUCGACAGAAGAAGCACCGGCUAACUACGUGCCAGCAGCCGCGGUAAUACGUAGGGUGCAGGCGUUAAUCGGAAUUACUGGGCGUAAAGGGUGCGCAGGCGGCUUUGUAAGUCAGAUGUGA
rnacentral:rRNA from 1 species